CUGCUCAGGAUGAACGCUAGCGGCAGGCUUAUACAUGCAAGUCGAACGGAUCUGGGGACUUCGGUUCCCGGGUUAGUGGCGCACGGGUGCGUAACGCGUAUGCAACCUACCUUCCACUGGGGGAUAGCCCACCGAAAGGUGGAUUAAUACCGCAUAUGACCACAGGAGGGCAUCCGAUUGUGGUAAAAGCUGAGGCGGUGGAAGAUGGGCAUGCGUGCCAUUAGCUAGUUGGCGGGGUAAAGGCCCACCAAGGCGACGAUGGCUAGGGGUUCUGAGAGGAUGGUCCCCCACACUGGUACUGAGACACGGACCAGACUCCUACGGGAGGCAGCAGUAGGGAAUAUUGGGCAAUGGCCGAGAGGCUGACCCAGCCAUGCCGCGUGCAGGAAGAAGGCCUUCUGGGUUGUAAACUGCUUUUACCAAGGAAGAAAACGCCCAUGCGUGGGUAACUGACGGUACUUGGUGAAUAAGCACCGGC
rnacentral:rRNA from 1 species